rnacentral:rRNA from 1 species
UGCCAGCCGCCGCGGUAAUACGGAGGGUGCGAGCGUUGUUCGGAAUUAUUGGGCGUAAAGCGCGUGUAGGCGGUUCGUUAAGUCUGAUGUGAAAGCCCGGGGCUCAACCCAGGAAGUGCAUUGGAAACUGGCGAACUUGAGUACGGGAGAGGAAAGUGGAAUUCCGAGUGUAGGGGUGAAAUCCGUAGAUAUUGGGAAGAACACCGAUUGCGAAGGCAGCUCUCUGGAACGGUACUGACGCUGAGACGCGAAAGCGUGGGGAGCGAACAGGAUUAGAUA